AUGAGUUUCUGAGAAUAGUAACUUCCCUUAUCCUAAGUUGGGUGUCUAACUUGGGAUGAUCAGUGAAGUGUGAAGAUGGGUGGCGGUGUCAGCGUGGAACAGGCUCAGGGAUAUUCCCAAAUCAGCGUAACUAAUGGGAAGCUUUUCUAAUGUUGGUGUAAUUGGCAGGAAAUACGGAGAUAUUAAUUCAUUUUCCUUUCAAAUACUGGCUUAUUUCCUUUAUUUACAAAAUCCAAUUUAAUUAGAGAAAUUCCCUUCUGGAGGAAGUUGGAUUUAUGUAUUGAUUUUUUUAAAGGAAAGGAGAGCAGACUGGGAAAAUGCUGAGAAGACAAUAUACAAAUGAAUUAUAAAGAAAAUACUACCCAUCUACUCUGGUUCCAAGUAAGACAAGAGCUCUUGAGGAUCAUGAAGAUUUUGGCAGCAAGGAAUUUCACCAGAAAGAGUGGGAGUUCUAAUACCUCUAGAAGUUUGGCUGGCAGGGAUUGGGGGAGAAGCUCUCCUCCCUAUGCAUUAAGAUCUCCCAUUGAAACUCUUAGAAAUACUCUUUCUGUUUCAAUGUUUACCUCACAAAGCUGGUGGGCAAAGCCCCAGGGGGAAGACUGAUUCUGACACACUGAAAUAACACGAUUUCUUUGUUGUGCAUUGGUAACAAAGGGAGGCUUCUUAACGACUCCAAAUACAGUUUUGAAACUAAGCAGCAGAGUUCACCCUCUGGCAACUGUCCAAUUUCUACCAACAGGUCAACUGUAAGGGGGAAAGGAGACAAUGCAUGCCCACCCCCUUACGCAGGAUAGACAGCAGUGCCUAUUCACUUACAGCAAGCAAAUGGAGGUGCCAUGCUGUGUACUAUAAAGGAUCUAGCUCUGAUGUCCAUGGCAGGUAGGAAGGGUACCUCAUCUUAAAGCACUGAGUGGAAAAGGAGUGAAAGAGAAGUGAUGCAGAAAAACUAUGACCAAAAAAUCAUAUUUAAAUGGGAAAUAGGUAUGUAACCUAAAAUGUUUGGGGGCUCAUUUGUCCCCAAGGGGCUUUGCCUAACAGCUCUGUGAAGGAUAUAGUUCUCUCUCAUUUGGCAGUAGUCUUCCACUGACAACUCCUGACACAUAUGUACAGUACCUCUCACUUCACUGACUCAGUUCAACCAAGAGUCUAGAAUUGCAGCACACAGAGGAAUGGUGAUUGGCCAAGUUACCUCUGACGUCAUAAUGAGACUAUUUAAGAUGGACCUAAGCUGCCCUGACUAUAACAUUAUUGGACACCUACCCAGAGGUCUCAGAUGCAAAGUUCCUUCCUGAAAGAUACAAAUUUCCACUCUCUUGUACUAUCUGACAUUAAUAUCAUCCACUGGCUAUAGUGGAAAAGUAGUAAGACUGAAGAUUUUCAUACAGAGAAACCCUGACAAUGAUGAGCCACUGAAACAUGCCAUUGUUGGAACAAUUGCUCUGAGAACUGACUUUUCAGGGACAAGCAAAUUCUCUGUAAGUGGGAGAAGGGAACAAUCAAAUUGCUUGUCAAACAGAUACCAAAACUAAGAAAAUGAUCUUUAAAUCAUGCCAUGCUGAGCCACUGAACAGCAUGUGAGAGAAAAUACAGAUUCUAAUUUGCAGACAUUUACUUCCAAUUUCAUUCAGAGGCAUUCUUUUCCUCCAUCAGCAUUUCUGGA